rnacentral:lncRNA from 1 species
UUUAUUAUAAUACAAUAAAAGAUGAUGUAAUUUGGGCCAAAGACAAAGUUGGCCCAUGACAAAGCCACAAUCUGAAUUUUGAAACCCACAUCUAAUCAUUCUCAUUUGAACAUAAAAUACGGGGUUUUACAAAGGUGAGCUAUGAAACAUUUUCCAUUUGUAUGCAAUCAAAUUUCCAGACGUUGAAAGAACAAUUUUGAUUCUGAAUCAUACCAAGUUGUGUUGAUCCAGAUCAGGUAAUUAUCAAUGUUUACCUGCAAAAAAAAAAAUCAGUUUUCCUCUUUGAUAUUUUUCAAAUAUAUGAUUCUCAAAUUUUAUAUGCUAAAUCUAGUUGUAGGAAUAUUAAUCUACAUCAGUAAUAGCUGUUGUGUUAAUUAUUCUUCUAAUUGUAUCUUAUACAUAUUAUUAUAAUAUGAUUGUAAUUGUAUCUUAUUAAUAUCCUGUUAUUAGAUGAAUAUUGUUGAUGGGGAAGAUAUUCAACCACCCAGAUUUUGGGAUAUGGUCAUCACCUCCUUUGAUUUUCAAGGUAGAGCAGCAUUGGUAAUACAAAUAAUCAAAGAAUCCUUAUUGUUGUUUAAAUUGAAAUUAAAUUAGAAAUAUACUAAUUUACUUUUUCAUUAUUUAUCUUAACAGCAUUUUCCGCGCAAUAUCUCAAUUAACUAUUUGGGAGCGUCGCAAACUGAUAUUGUUAUGGUCUUGGAGAAUUCGGAUAUUCAUGUCAAUUGCGAAAUCAAAUCAUCAAAAUUGAAUAGCAAUGACAAAUAUAUAUGCGAUGGGUGGAAUGCAUUUAUGGAUACAGGUAAUAUCAAUGUUGGUCAGAAACUUAGGUUCACGAUUUUAGAUUCACCUGUUUUUUUGAAGGUUCGAAAAAUUAAUUAACAUGUAUAAGCCUAUUCUGAAUCAAUGUUUUAUUUAGAUU